rnacentral:rRNA from 1 species
CAGGUUGAAGGUGCGGUAAAACGCACUGGAGGACCGAACCAGGGCACGUUGAAAAGUGCUUGGAUGACUUGUGGGUAGCGGAGAAAUUCCAAACGAACUUGGAGAUAGCUGGUUCUCUCCGAAAUAGCUUUAGGGCUAGCGUCGACAUAGAGAUUCUUGGAGGUAGAGCACUGUUUGGGUGAGGGGUCCAUCCCGGAUUACCAAUCUCAGAUAAACUCCGAAUGCCAAUGAAUUAUGGUCGGCAGUCAGACUGCGAGUGCUAAGAUCCGUAGUCGAAAGGGAAACAGCCCAGACCACCAGCUAAGGUCCCAAAAUAAUUGUUAAGUGGAAAAGGAUGUGGGGUUGCACAGACAACUAGGAUGUUAGCUUAGAAGCAGCUAUUCAUUCAAAGAGUGCGUAAUAGCUCACUAGUCGAGUGACCCUGCGCCGAAAAUGUACCGGGGCUAAAACAAUUUACCGAAGCUGUGGAUACCUUUAUAGGUAUGGUAGGAGAGCGUUCUAUGUGUGAUGAAGGUGUACCGUGAGGAGUGCUGGAACGCAUAGAAGUGAGAAUGCCGGUAUGAGUAGCGAAAGACAGGUGAGAAUCCUGUCCACCGUAAGACUAAGGUUUCCAGGGGAAGGCUCGUCCGCCCUGGGUUAGUCGGGACCUAAGGAGAGACCGAAAGGUGUAUCCGAUGGACAACAGGUUGAUAUUCCUGUACUAGAGUAUGUAGUGAUGGAGGGACGCAGUAGGCUAACUAAAGCAGACGAUUGGAAGUGUCUGUCUAAGCAGUGAGGUGUGAUAUGAGUCAAAUGCUUAUAUCUAUAACAUUGAGCUGUGAUGGGGAGCGAAGUUUAGUAGCGAAGUUAGUGACGUCACACUGCCAAGAAAAGCUUCUAGCGUUAAACAUACUCUACCCGUACCGCAAACCGACACAGGUAGUCGAGGCGAGUAGCCUCAGGUGAGCGAGAGAACUCUCGUUAAGGAACUCGGCAAAAUGACCCCGUAACUUCGGGAGAAGGGGUGCUGGUAGCAAUACCAGCCGCAGUGAAUAGGCCCAGGCGACUGUUUAUCAAAAACACAGGUCUCUGCAAAAUCGAAAGAUGACGUAUAGGGGCUGACGCCUGCCCGGUGCUGGAAGGUUAAGAGGAGAGGUUAGCCGCAAGGCGAAGCUUUGAAUUGAAGCCCCAGUAAACGGCGGCCGUAACUAUAACGGUCCUAAGGUAGCGAAAUUCCUUGUCGGGUAAGUUCCGACCCGCACGAAAGGCGUAACGAUUUGGGCACUGUCUCAACGAUGGACUCGGUGAAAUCAUAGUACCUGUGAAGAUGCAGGUUACCCGCGACAGGACGGAAAGACCCCAUGGAGCUUUACUGUAGUUUGAUAUUGAGUGUUUGUGUCACAUGUACAGGAUAGGUAGGAGCUGAAGAAUCCGGGACGCCAGUUUCGGAGGAGGCAACGGUGGGAUACUACCCUUGUGACAUGACCACUCUAACCCGCACCCCUUACCGGGGUGGGAGACAGUGUCAGACGGGCAGUUUGACUGGGGCGGUCGCCUCCUAAAAUGUAACGGAGGCGCCCAAAGGUUCCCUCAGAAUGGUUGGAAAUCAUUCGAAGAGUGUAAAGGCAGAAGGGAGCUUGACUGCGAGACCAACAAGUCGAGCAGGGACGAAAGUCGGGCUUAGUGAUCCGGUGGUACCGAAUGGAAGGGCCAUCGCUCAACGGAUAAAAGCUACCCUGGGGAUAACAGGCUUAUCUCCCCCAAGAGUUCACAUCGACGGGGAGGUUUGGCACCUCGAUGUCGGCUCAUCGCAUCCUGGGGCUGUAGUCGGUCCCAAGGGUUGGGCUGUUCGCCCAUUAAAGCGGUACGCGAGCUGGGUUCAGAACGUCGUGAGACAGUUCGGUCCCUAUCCGUCGCGGGCGUAGGAAAUUUGAGAGGAUCUGCUCCUAGUACGAGAGGACCAGAGUGGACUUACCGCUGGUGUACCAGUUGUUCUGCCAAGAGCAUCGCUGGGUAGCUAUGUGUGGACGGGAUAAACGCUGAAAGCAUCUAAGCGUGAAGCCCCCCUCGAGAUGAGAUUUCCCAUCAUUUUAAAUGAGUAAGACCCCUGAGAGACGAUCAGGUAGAUAGGCUAGAAGUGGAAGUGCCGCGAGGCAUGGAGCGGACUAGUACUAAUCGGUCGAGGACUUAACCAC